UAUUUAUAAACCUAUUGCUCGCG
rnacentral:snRNA from 1 species